GCCAUCUCUGGCCAUGGUUUCUCCUCCUUUCUGUGAGCACAUCCACUAGGUGAAGGAUGAAGAAGGAUGGAGGAGAGAAGUGUGGGAAAGGAAUAUGCAUAUGAUUGAACAGCAUAAUCAGGAACACAGCCAAGGGAAACAGCUUCACAAUGGCAAUGAAUGGUUUUGGUGACAUGACCAGUGAAGAAUUCAAGCAGGUGUUAAAUGACCUUAAAUUCCAGAAACUCAAGAAGGGGAAAGUCUUCCGAGCACCCCUCUUUGCUGAGAUCCCCUCAUCUGUGGACUGGAGAGAGAAAGGCUAUGUAACUUCGGUGAAG